AAGUAUUGAACAGAAGGAAAUUGUAUGAAUAUAUCUUUUGUGAAAUAGUCUAGUACAUUAAUUUGUACUAAUUUUUGCCAAAUCGCAGAUUUUGUACAAGCUGUGGAGACAUCCCUUCUUCUGGUUCACGAUAAUGACCUUUACCUAGAAACAUAGAAGAUGUUUCCAUCUAUGACCAAAUCAUAUCAAAGGAAUUAGUUUACUUCAAGCAACUCAACUAUGAAGAUACCAAAGGUGAUAAGUGGGGAAUUGAAGACUCCAAGGAAUUAAUGUACCCCAGAGUAAG
rnacentral:lncRNA from 1 species